rnacentral:rRNA from 1 species
AGUGAACGCUGGCGGUAGGCCUAGCACAUGCAAGUCGAACGGCAGCACAGUAAGAGCUUGCUCUUACGGGUGGCGAGUGGCGGACGGGUGAGGAAUACAUCGGAAUCUACUUUUUCGUGGGGGAUAACGUAGGGAAACUUACGCUAAUACCGCAUACGACCUACGGGUGAAAGCAGGGGAUUUUCGGACCUUGCGCGAUUGAAUGAGCCGAUGUCGGAUUAGCUAGUUGGCGGGGUAAAGGCCCACCAAGGCGACGAUCCGUAGCUGGUCUGAGAGGAUGAUCAGCCACACUGGAACUGAGACACGGUCCAGACUCCUACGGGAGGCAGCAGUGGGGAAUAUUGGACAAUGGGCGCAAGCCUGAUCCAGCCAUACCGCGUGGGUGAAGAAGGCCUUCGGGUUGUAAAGCCCUUUUGUUGGGAAAGAAAAGCAGCAGGUUAAUACCCCGCUGUUCUGACGGUACCCAAAGAAUAAGCACCGGCUAACUUCGUG